GCACGUGCAAUAUAAUCAGGAGCACGUGAUAGUGAUGUCAUCCCGACUAUAAAUGUCGAUGGAGAAGGCCACGCUACGAGUAAAGGUGAUGCGUCUUAGUCUUUCUGAUUAGUCAAACUCGGAGACAAACCAGCCCAAAAAAGCUUCUUUAUUUAUUUAUUUUAUUUUUUAAAUCUGUUUUUUCAAAGAAGGUGACGUUGAAGAACUGAGAAUUUAUUUGAGGCAAAUGGAAAAAAAACAAUAGUGUGAAUAGUCAAAUUAUGUGUGCAAACAGCAUAUGCCAUCUUUGAAGCAGUGGAGUCCUCUCUUUCUCUUUCUGGGUAAUGCUUUAUUGGUUUUUUUUUUUUUUUUUUNNN
rnacentral:lncRNA from 1 species